GGGGAUGUAGCUCAAUUGGGAGAGCGCUGCCCUUGCAAGGCAGAGGUUGGCGGUUCGAUCCCGCUCAUCUCCACCA
rnacentral:tRNA from 7 species